GACGUAGGGGGCGAGCGUUGUCCGGAUUCAUUGGGCGUAAAGCGCGCGCAGGCGGCCCGGUAAGUCGGAUGUGAAAUCCCACGGCUCAACCGUGGAACUGCAUUCGAUACUGUCGGGCUAGAGGCAGGUAGGGGAGAUCGGAAUUCCUGGUGUAGCGGUGAAAUGCGUAGAGAUCCGGAGGAACACCAGUGGCGAAGGCGACACGCUGGGCCGUACCUGACACUGAUGCGCGACAGCAUGGGGAGCAAACAGG
rnacentral:rRNA from 1 species